GAUGAACGCUGGCGGCGUGCUUAACACAUGCCAGUCGAACGGAAAGGCUCCUGCUUGCCGGGGUACUCGAGUGGCGAACGGGUGAGUAACACGUGGGUGAUCUGCCCUGCACUUCGGGAUAAGCCUGGGAAACUGGGGCUAAUACCGGAUAGGACCACCUUUUGGAUGGUGUGGUGGAGAGUUUUUCGGUGUGGGAUGAGCUCGCGGCCUAUCAGCUUGUUGGUGGGGUAAUGGCCUACCACGGCGUCGACGGGGAGCCGGCCUGUGAGGGUGUACGGCCACAUUGGGGCUGAGAGACGGCCCAGACUCCUACGGGGGGCAGCAGUGGGGAAUAUUGCACAAUGGGGGCAAGCCUGAUGCAGCGACGCCGCGUGGGGGAUGACGGCCUUCGGGUUGUAAACUCCUUUCGCUAGGGACGAAGCGUUUUUGUGACGGUUCCUGGAGAAGAAGCACCGGCUAACUACGUG
rnacentral:rRNA from 1 species